GAUACCCGGGUAGUCCACGCUGUAAACGAUGGGUGCUAGGUUUGGGGAGGAAACUCUCUGAGCCGUAGCUAACGCGUUAAGCACCCCGCCUGGGGAGUAUGGCCGCAAGGCUGAAACUCAAAGGAAUUGACGGGGGCUCGCACAAGCGGUGGAGCACGUGGUUUAAUUCGAUGCAAAGCGAAGAACCUUACCUGGGUUUGACAUGCCAGGGAAGUACUCUGGUGGAGACACUGGGGGAGCAUGGGGUUUACCCUAUGCGCUCUGGCACAGGUGCUGCAUGGCCGCCGUCAG
rnacentral:rRNA from 1 species